UUAUGGCUCAGGAUGAACGCUAGCUACAGGCUUAACACAUGCAAGUCGAGGGGCAGCAUGAUCGAAGCUUGCUUGAUGAUGGCGACCGGCGCACGGGUGAGUAACGCGUAUCCAACCUUCCCUAUAGUAGAGGAUAGCCCGGCGAAAGUCGGAUUAAUACUCUAUGUUUUCCAAUGAGGACAUCUGAGCUGGAACAAAGGUUUACCGCUAUAGGAUGGGGAUGCGUCUGAUUAGGUUGUUGGCGGGGUAACGGCCCACCAAGCCUACGAUCAGUAGGGGUUCUGAGAGGAAGGUCCCCCACAUUGGAACUGAGACACGGUCCAAACUCCUACGGGAGGCAGCAGUGAGGAAUAUUGGUCAAUGGGCGAGAGCCUGAACCAGCCAAGUAGCGUGCAGGAUGACGGCCCUAUGGGUUGUAAACUGCUUUUAUAUAGGGAUAAAGUGACCCACGUGUGGGUUUUUGUAGGUACUAUAUGAAUAAGGACCGGCUAAUUCCGUGCCAGCAGCUGC
rnacentral:rRNA from 1 species